AUUGAACGCUGGCGGCAAGCCUAACACAUGCAAGUCGAACGAGUGGCGGACGGGUGAGUAAUGUCUGGGAAACUGCCUGAUGGAGGGGGAUAACUACUGGAAACGGUAGCUAAUACCGCAUACCAUCGGAUGUGCCCAGAUGGGAUUAGCUAGUAGGUGGGGUAAAGGCUCACCUAGGCGACGAUCCCUAGCUGGUCUGAGAGGAUGACCAGCCAAACUGGGACGUGGACGCGGUCCAGACUCCUACGGGGGGCAGAAGUGGGGAAGAGUGCACAAUGGGCGCAAGCCUGAUGCAGCCAUGCCGCGUGUAUGAAGAAGGCCUUCGGGUUGUAAAGUACUUUCAGCGUGGAGGCGUUACCCGCAGAAGAAGCACCGGCUAACUCCGUGCCAGCAGCCGCGGUAAUUC
rnacentral:rRNA from 1 species